rnacentral:rRNA from 1 species
AUUGAACGCUGGCGGCAGGCCUAACACAUGAAAGUCGAGCGAGCGGCGGACGUGUGAGUAAUGUAGGGGGACUGCCUGAUAGAGGGGGAUAACUACUGGAAACGGGGGAGAAUACCGCAUACUAUCAGAUAACCCCUAGUGGAUUAGCUUGUAGGUGAGGUAAAGUCUCACUUAGGCGACGCUCCCUAGCUGGUCUGAGAGGAUGAUCAGCCACACUGGGACUGAGACACGGCCCAGACUCCUACGGAGGCAGCAGUGGGGAAUAUUGCACAAUGGGCGCAAGCCUGAUGCAGCCAUGCCGCGUGUAUGAAGAAGGCCUUAGGGUUGUAAAGUACUUUCAGUAGGGAGGCGUUACCGACAGAAGAAGCACCGGCUAACUCCGUGCCAGCAGCCGCGGUAAUUC